GAUGAACGCUAGCGGCAGGCCUAAUACAUGCAAGUCGAACGGGAUCCAGAUCAAAGCUUGCUUUGGUCUGGUGAGAGUGGCGCACGGGUGCGUAACGCGUGAGCAACCUACCCUUGUCAGGGGGAUAGCCCGGCGAAAGUCGGAUUAAUACCGCAUGACAUCAUUGAGAGGCAUCUUUCGAUGAUCAAAGAUUUAUCGGACAAGGAUGGGCUCGCGUGACAUUAGCUAGUUGGUAAGGUAACGGCUUACCAAGGCUGCGAUGUCUAGGGGCUCUGAGAGGAGAAUCCCCCACACUGGUACUGAGACACGGACCAGGCUCCUACGGGAGGCAGCAGUAAGGAAUAUUGGUCAAUGGACGGAAGUCUGAACCAGCCAUGCCGCGUGCAGGAAGACGGCCCUAUGGGUUGUAAACUGCUUUUAUACGGGAACAAACGUCGGUACGUGUACCGGUCUGAGUGUACCGUAAGAAUAAGGAUCGGCUAACUCCGUG
rnacentral:rRNA from 1 species